GCUUGCUCCCGGAUGUUAGCGGCGGACGGGUGAGUAACACGUGGGUAACCUGCCUGUAAGACUGGGAUAACUCCGGGAAACCGGAGCUAAUACCGGAUAGUUCCUUGAACCGCAUGGUUCAAGGAUGAAAGACGGUUUCGGCUGUCACUUACAGAUGGACCCGCGGCGCAUUAGCUAGUUGGUGAGGUAACGGCUCACCAAGGCGACGAUGCGUAGCCGACCUGAGAGGGUGAUCGGCCACACUGGGACUGAGACACGGCCCAGACUCCUACGGGAGGCAGCAGUAGGGAAUCUUCCGCAAUGGACGAAAGUCUGACGGAGCAACGCCGCGUGAGUGAUGAAGGUUUUCGGAUCGUAAAGCUCUGUUGUUAGGGAAGAACAAGUGCAAGAGUAACUGCUUGCACCUUGACGGUACCUAACCAGAAAGCCACGGCUAACUACGUGCCAGCAGCCGCGGUAAUACGUAGGUGGCAAGCGUUGUCCGGAAUUAUUGGGCGUAAAGGGCUCGCAGGCGGUUUCUUAAGUCUGAUGUGAAAGCCCCCGGCUCAACCGGGGAGGGUCAUUGGAAACUGGGAAACUUGAGUGCAGAAGAGGAGAGUGGAAUUCCACGUGUAGCGGUGAAAUGCGUA
rnacentral:rRNA from 1 species